rnacentral:lncRNA from 1 species
UGGAAUUUGGGUCAGUUAAGAUUAUAUAUGCAGGCAAACAUCAGGUCAGAUGCAAAGAAAUAGUUCUUGCCUAUUCUCUUCAUUAAUUGAAAAAAAAGAAGUGUUUAUAGAAAGGAUGUUUUUUCAACAGCUUUUCAACUUAAGGAUUUGACACCUUCUUUAGCUGACCAAGAAAGUGUAUGUGUGGGAUCAAUUUAUCUGUUUAGUAAUACCAAAUUUUGAAAUCUGGCAUUUGAUGAGUCAGCCUGGGAGAAACUGGAAACACAUUGUGAGAGGUACCUUCUGUGAAAAAAGUGCAACUUGGUGACAUGAUCUGCCUGCCGGACUGUAUACCUGAGCAGCAUACAGCUUAUUACUGCAUAAAAGAAACAUAUCAAGAUAAUUUUGAAUCAGAUUGUGUGCUGGAAAAAUGGCCUUACAUCCAAAGGAGUGAAAUUUGGAGAGUCAUUCG